GGCGGCGUGCUUAACACAUGCAAAGUCAAGGGGGGCCCGCAAGGGUCAACCGGCGAACGGGUGCGUAACACGUGAGCGACCUGCCCAGUUGCGGGGGAUAGCCGGCCCAACGGCCGGGUAAUACCGCAUACGCGUCCUUGGGGGCAUUCCUGGGGACGGAAACCUACGGGGCGAUUGGAGGGGCUCGCGGCCCAUCAGCUAGUUGGUGCGGUAACGGCGCACCAAGGCGAUGACGGGUAGCUGGUCUGACAGGAUGGCCAGCCACAUUGGGACUGAGAGACGGCCCAGACUCCUACGGGAGGCAGCAGUGGGGAAUCUUGCGCAAUGGCCGAAAGGCUGACGCAGCGACGCCGCGUGGAGGAUGACGCCCUUCGGGGUGUAAACUCCUGUUGCCCGGGACGAAUACCCGUUUCGACGGGGGUGACGGUACCGGGUGAGGAAGCACCGGCUAACUCUGUGCCAGCAGCCGCGGUAAUACAGAGGGUGCGAGCGUUGUCCGGAAUCACUGGGCGUAAAGGGCGCGUAGGCGGCUGGGUAAGCGUGUGGUGAAAGCCCGGGGCUCAACCCCGGGUCGGCCAUGCGAACUGUCCAGCUGGAGCACCGGUAGAGGCACAUGGAAUUCCGGGUGUAGCGGUGGAAUGCGUAGAGAUCCGGAAGAACACCCGGUGGCGAAGCCGCUGUGCUGGGCCGUGGCUGACGCUGAGGCGCGACAGCGUGGGGAGCAAACAGGAUUAGAUACCCCUGGUAGUCCACGCCGUAAACGAUGGGCACUAGGUCCUUGGGGGAGCGACCCCGUGAGGGCCGGCGCUAACGCAUUAAGUGCCCCGCCUGGG
rnacentral:rRNA from 1 species